CCUCACUAUUCAACCUUUGACACAUGACUGCAAAAACAAAGACAACAGAGAGACUCAUCCUGGAAGCUCUCUUCGCAGAUGACUGUGCUCUCAUGGCCCACCAAGAAAAUCAUCUCCAAACCAUUGUGGACAGGUUCUCCACCGCAACAAAACUGUUUGGCCUGACUAUCAGCCUCAGCAAAACAGAGGUGCUGUUUCAACCUACAUCAGGGAGGCCAACGAACCAGCCAUGCAUUACAAUCGACAGCACGCAGCUUUCUAAGGUCAACACUUUCAAGUACCUGGGCAGCACCAUCGCCAACGACGGGUCCCUAGACCACGAGAUCAAAGCCAGGAUCCAAAAGGCCAGCCAGGCACUCGGGCGGCUGCGCUCCAAAGUCCUCCAACACAGAGGUGUAAGCACUGUGAAGAAGCUCAAAGUGUAUAACGCAGAGGUCCUCAGCUCGCUCCUGUACGGCUGUGAGACAUGGACACUGUACUGGAAGCACAUGAAGCAGCUGGAGCAAUUCCACCAACGCUCUCUCCAGUCAAUCAUGAGGAUCCGAUGGCAGGACCAAAUCACCAACCAGGAAGUUCUCGACAGAGCCAACUCCACCAGCAUCGAAGUCCUGGUCCUCAACAUCCAGCUACGAUGGUCUGGACACGUCAUCCGCAUGGACCCACAGCGAAUACCAAGACAGGUAUUCUAUGGUGAACUGUCAGCUGGACUCAGGAAACAAGGCCGGCCAAAGAAAAGAUUCAAGGAUCAGCUAAAGUCCAACUUGAAGUGGGCUGGCAUGAUACCAAAGCAACUAGAACUUGCUGCCUCUGUCAGAAGCAGCUGGCGAACCCACAUUAAUCAUGCCGCCGCCACCUUUGAAGAUGAGCGACUUCGACGUCUUGCCGCUGCGCAUGAAUGCCGACACCAGGCCACAACCACACCUCCCUUAACAACUGGUGUCCCAUGCCCCAUGUGCCACAAACUUUGUGUCUCAGUCUUUGGACUCCAAAGCCACAUGAGGGUACACCGGAGAUGAAACUGCACA
rnacentral:lncRNA from 1 species